UGGGGAAUUUUGGACAAUGGGCGAAAGCCUGAUCCAGCAAUGCCGCGUGUGUGAAGAAGGCCUUCGGGUUGUAAAGCACUUUUGUCCGGAAAGAAAUCCUUGGCUCUAAUACAGUCGGGGGAUGACGGUACCGGAAGAAUAAGCACCGGCUAACUACGUGCCAGCAGCCGCGGUAAUACGUAGGGUGCAAGCGUUAAUCGGAAUUACUGGGCGUAAAGCGUGCGCAGGCGGUUUGCUAAGACCGAUGUGAAAUCCCCGGGCUCAACCUGGGAACUGCAUUGGUGACUGGCAGGCUAGAGUAUGGCAGAGGGGGGUAGAAUUCCACGUGUAGCAGUGAAAUGCGUAGAGAUGUGGAGGAAUACCGAUGGCGAAGGCAGCCCCCCUGGGCCAAUACUGACGCUCAUGCACGAAAGCGUGGGGAGCAAACAGGAUUAGAUACCCUGGUAGUCCACGCCCUAAACGAUGUCAACUAGUUGUUGGGGACUUCAUUUCCUUAGUAACGUAGCUAACGCGUGAAGUUGACCGCCUGGGGAGUACGGUCGCAAGAUUAAAACUCAAAGGAAUUGACGGGGUC
rnacentral:rRNA from 1 species